rnacentral:tRNA from 1 species
GCGCGCAUAGCUCAGGGGUAGAGCGCUUCGUUGACAUCGAAGAGGUCUAUGGUUCAAAUCCAUAUGCGCGCACAA